UUCCGGUUGAUCCCGCCGGACCUGACUGCUAUCGGAUUGAUACUAAGCCAUGCGAGUCAUUGUAGCAAUACAAGGCAGACGGCUCAGUAACGCGUAGUCAACCUAACCUAUGGACGGGAAUAACCUCGGGAAACUGAGAAUAAUGCCCGAUAGAACACUAUACCUGGAAUGGUUUGUGUUCCAAAUGAUUUAUCGCCGUAGGAUGGGACUGCGGCCUAUCAGUUUGUUGGUGAGGUAAUGGCCCACCAAGACUAUUACAGGUACGGGCUCUGAGAGGAGUAGCCCGGAGAUGGGUACUGAGACACGGACCCAGGCCCUAUGGGGCGCAGCAGGCGAGAAAACUUUGCAAUGUGCGAAAGCACGACAAGGUUAAUCCGAGUGAUUUGUGCUAAACGAAUCUUUUGUUAGUCCUAGAACCACUAACGAAUAAGGGGUGGGCAAGUUCUGGUGUCAGCCGCCGCGGUAAAACCAGCACCUCAAGUGGUCAGGAUGAUUAUUGGGCCUAAAGCAUCCGUAGCCGGCUCUGUAAGUUUUCGGUUAAAUCUGUACGCUUAACGUACAGGCUGCCGGGAAUACUGCAGAGCUAGGGAGUGGGAGAGGUAGACGGUACUCGGUAGGAAGGGGUAAAAUCCUUUGAUCUAUUGAUGACCACCUGUGGC
rnacentral:rRNA from 1 species